AUUGAACGCUGGCGGCAGGCCUAACACAUGCAAGUCGAGCGGAGCGGCAGACGGGUGAGUAAUGCCUAGGAAUCUGCCUGGUAGUGGGGGAUAACGUCCGGAAACGGGCGCUAAUACCGCAUACUAUCAGAUGAGCUGAGGUCGGAUUAGCUAGUGGGUGGGGGAAAGGCCUACCAAGGCGACGAUCCGUAACUGGUCUGAGAGGAGGAUCAGUCAACCUGGAACGGAGACACGGGCCAGACUCCUCCGGGAGGAAGCAUUGGGGAAUAUUGGACAAGGGGCGAAAGCUUGACCCAGCCAUGCGGCGGGUGUGAGGAAGGUCUUCGGAUUGUAAAGCACUUUAAGUUGGGAGGCGGUACUUACAGAAUAAGCACCGGCUAACUUCGUGCCAGCAGCCGCGGUAAUUC
rnacentral:rRNA from 1 species